GCAUCUGGAAGGGGAGAGAAUCACAGACGAUGUAAUUUCAACAAGGACGAUUUCGGUCUUUUGCAAAGACCCUUCUAUUAGCAGAGGCCUACUGCUCACCAGAUGUGUGGAUGAACAAACCUGAACAGCCUGGAGGCUGGUGAUAUCUACCCCCACAGCGCUUCUUCCUUGGUCCCCCAAGCAGGCUCCAUAACUCCAAGACUUCACGCAGCCUUUUCUGAACUUGGAAGUCAAGAGAAAAUUCACAGAACUUUGGAAAAUACAUUUUCUUUUAAGGAAGAAUUUUUUGUUUUCAUUUCAACAGCCCUGGCUGGUGAUGAGGGGUGAUGCGAGGUGCCCUGUUUUCCAUCCUAACACCUAUUUCCAGGUGGGGGCAGGGAGGGCUCCAACCUGAAAUGUUAUUUCAAAACCUUUCCGGGCCUUGCAGCUCCAUUUCCAGGCCACAUGCUGCAAAGCACGGCACGAUUUCCCAUUACGUGCUGUUGCCCUUUCUCGUCUGAGCACCUUUCAAAGUGGGAAGACCCAGCCUGCUGCAACACCCUCCCUCCUGUCCCCAUAAAUUAAGUCUCACUGCCUGAUGUGAGGCUUAAAUAAAUAGCCUUGCCCGGCACCCGAUGGCCACACUCCUGAUAGAUGGGCUUGCCAAGAGCAGCAAACUCAGCUCGCUCCUCCUUGCCCCUCCACAGAGAGAAGAUGAAACUGGUGUUUUGCAAAUGCUUCCUGCCUGCUUUCUGCCAGCCAAGGCACAUUCCAAGAAGGAGCAGGCCAGCAAAGUCUUGUCAUCUGACGGGGUGAGGACAGAGAUGGAUGAUGCGCUCUUUGCCAGAGAAGGCCACGUUCAGACACUCCCAGAUAGCCAGCUGCCACUUUAUUAACAGCAAAGAUCCCCAUCUGAACGAGGCUGGGAAAGAAAAUAUUUAUGCUUGCCUGUCAGGAGGACCUUCAUUUUUCUUCUGGGGAGCCAGCCAGGGUGCUAGUCCAGGGAUGGAGGAGUGUGACGUGCCUAUGGGGUUGCCCCAGGCCCUUCUGCAUCCCAGGGUUGAUGGAGAGUCCAGAAUGUUCCCAGGGCAGCUCUGGAUGGGGUCGGGAGGUUUCAGAAGAGCUGGAUAUAGGGAGUUCAGGGCCUGAGAAAGCAGAACACACCCUGGCACCUGUUAACUGCAAACAAGAGGACCUGGGUGGGGGAGUGGGUGCUACAGUUAGAAAUCAGUGGCAAAUAGGCCAUUAAAUGAUCUCAUUAUUAAUUAAAAACACAUAGCAGCAUGCAUCUGA
rnacentral:lncRNA from 1 species